UACGGGGGGGGCAAGCGUUGUUCGGAAUUACUGGGCGUAAAGGGCUCGUAGGCGGCCAACUAAGUCAGACGUGAAAUCCCUCGGCUUAACCGGGGAACUGCGUCUGAUACUGGUUGGCUUGAAUCCGGGAGAGGGAUGUGGAAUUCCAGGUGUAGCGGUGAAAUGCGUAGAUAUCUGGAGGAACACCGGUGGCGAAGGCGGCAUCCUGGACGGUAACUGACGCUGAGACGCGAAAGCGUGGGGAGCAAACAGG
rnacentral:rRNA from 1 species